UGAAUACUUAAGGUUUCAAAGGCUCUCCAGAACUGAAAAGAGGCACAGAGGCCGCAGGAUCAGCAGGAUGGGUGCCAAAACCUGCUGUGGCACCAUGCCUUUGCAAAGGUGGAUCUUCAGAGGAGAAGGACUGUGUGUAUGGCUGAAGGAGUGGACCCUGAGCACUGGGCAGGCCUUUCAAGGUGCCAGGGUCUCCAUCUGCCUUGGAACUCAGAAAGCAGCCUUCACCUUGUUUGUUUCAGUAGCUCCAUAUUGUCAAUCUCCUUGACUGACUUUCCCAAGUCACAUCUGGCAGGCUCUGUGACCAGGACUGAUGUCUGUGAGGCUUCAGGCAUUUGGCUGGACAAGCAGAAACCUUCAGCGAAUAUCCUCAGUCAGUCCCUGGGCAGAGGACUGACUGGCCCCUGAGGACUGGAACCUGGAGUGGGCACAGGGCAUCAUACACUUUGUCUGCCAUCAUCUUCUGUUGGAAGGAAAACCCUGGCCUAGGAAGGAUUUGGAAGGUGGGAGAAAGACUUAGGGGAGAGAAGGAAAAGAACCAACUGCCUGCAGUCUGGAUGAUCCUGCUUCUGUGCUUGCCAGCCUUGCUUGCAGCUUCUAUUGGGCACAGAGGGAGCUGGGCUAGCAGGCAGCCACUCUCAAAGAUGGCUGGCUGCAUCUGUGUGCGGUGCCUCUCAGCCAAGCGGACUCCUCUCAACUGCGUGCCGGCAGCAAAAACUCCAGAUCUCUGGUCGCUCCAAAGGCUGUUCUAGAAAAACCUCUGGUCUGGAGGACCAAGGCCUAACUAAAGGUAGGGGAGGCCACUCCUGCUGUCCAACCCAAGGUCUCUUCCCUGCCCCUGCCCUUCAUUAAAUUACCAAAUAAAGUCUGAAGUGCAGAUUUCCUUGCUCUCAAACUUUCCUUAUCACAGAACCAUAGAAACACAGGCAGUGGGAAGCCUCAGGAGUCCUCUACCCCAAACCCUUUAGGGCCCACCCUGCUGCAAGUUCUCAGGAAAGAUGACCCAGGACUUUAUCCAAGUACAAGGUACCUAUUUUCUAAAAAAGAUUUUACUCAUUGUUGUUGUUGUUUGAGACAGAGUCUUGCUCUGUCGCCCAGGCUGGAGUGCAGUGGCACAAUCUCAGCUCACUUCAG
rnacentral:lncRNA from 10 species